rnacentral:rRNA from 1 species
CAGCCGCCACGGUAAUACGUAGGUGGCAAGCGUUGUCCGGAACUAUUGGGCGUAAAGGGCUCGCAGGCGGUUUCUUAAGUCUGAUGUGAAAGCCCCCGGCUCAACCGGGGAGGGUCAUUGGAAACUGGGAAACUUGAGUGCAGAAGAGGAGAGUGGAAUUCCACGUGUAGCGGUGAAAUGCGUAGAGAUGUGGAGGAACACCAGUGGCGAAGGCGACUCUCUGGUCUGUAACUGACGCUGAGGAGCGAAAGCGUGGGGAGCGAACAGGAUUAGAUACCCCUGUAGUCCCUGUCUCUUAUAU